rnacentral:rRNA from 1 species
GGCUCAGAGCGAACGUUUGCGGCGGGCCUAACACAUGCAAGUCGAACGCACUAGCAAUAGUGAGUGGCGCACGGGUGCGUAACACGUGGGUAAUCAACCCUUCAGCUUGGGAUAACGACUUGAAAGGGUCGCUAAUACCGGAUACGGCGAGAGAGGCUUCGGCAUUUCUCGAGAAAGCCUCGCAAGGGGCACUGAAGGACGAGCCUGCGGCCCAUCAGCUAGUUGGUGAGGUAAGAGCUCACCAAGGCGAAGACGGGUAGCUGGUCUGAGAGGAUGAUCAGCCACACUGGAACUGAGACACGGUCCAGACUCCUACGGGAGGCAGCAGUGGGGAAUAUUGCGCAAUGGGCGAAAGCCUGACGCAGCCACGCCGCGUGAGCGAUGAAGGCCUUCGGGUCGUAAAGCUCUGUGGGGAGAGACGAAGAAAGCCGGUGAAGAGCCGGCCUUGACGGUAUCUCCUUAGCAAGCACCGGCUAACUCCGUG